rnacentral:rRNA from 1 species
GCAGUAGCCACGGUAAUACGAAGGGUGCAAGCGUUACUCGGAAUUACUGGGCGUAAAGCGUGCGUAGGUGGUGGUUUAAGUCCGUUGUGAAAGCCCUGGGCUCAACCUGGGAAUUGCAGUGGAUACUGGGUCACUAGAGUGUGGUAGAGGAUAGUGGAAUUUCCGGUGUAGCAGUGAAAUGCGUAGAGAUCGGAAGGAACAUCUGUGGCGAAGGCGACUAUCUGGGCCAACACUGACACUGAGGCACGAAAGCGUGGGGAGCAAACAGGAUUAGAUACCCCAGUAGUCCCUGUCUCUUAUAC